AGUGAACGCUGGCGGUAGGCCUAACACAUGCAAGUCGAACGGCAGCACAGUAAGAGCUUGCUCUUACGGGUGGCGAGUGGCGGACGGGUGAGGAAUACAUCGGAAUCUACUUUUUCGUGGGGGAUAACGUAGGGAAACUUACGCUAAUACCGCAUACGACCUACGGGUGAAAGCAGGGGAUCUUCGGACCUUGCGCGAUUGAAUGAGCCGAUGUCGGAUUAGCUAGUUGGCGGGGUAAAGGCCCACCAAGGCGACGAUCCGUAGCUGGUCUGAGAGGAUGAUCAGACACACUGGAACUGAGACACGAUCCAGACUCCUACGGGAGGCAGCAGUGGGGAAUAUUGGACAAUGGGCGCAAGCCUGAUCCAGCCAUACCGCGUGGGUGAAGAAGGCCUUCGGGUUGUAAAGCCCUUUUGUUGGGAAAGAAAAGCAGCAGGUUAAUACCCCGCUGUUCUGACGGUACCCAAAGAAUAAGCACCGGCUAACUUCGUG
rnacentral:rRNA from 1 species